GAGAGAGAGGAAAAAAGAGGCGCGACUAGUGAAGUUGCUGAUAUUUUUCUCCUCCAAAGACUUGCAACGACUCUCCUCCACAUCUGUUCACCCAAUUCCCGAUCAUGAAGAGGGGAGCCUUAAACCCUAAUAUCAAGCUCAAGCUUUCUCUUCCUCCUCCCGAUGAAGUAUCCUUCGCUAAGUUCCUAACCCAAAGCGGUACCUUUAAGGAUGGUGAUCUGCUAGUCAAUCGAGAUGGAGUUCGAAUUGUCUCGCAAAACGAACCCGAAGCUCCACCCCCUAUUAAACCAUCAGACAACCAGUUGAAUUUGGCAGACAUAGA
rnacentral:misc_RNA from 1 species